rnacentral:rRNA from 1 species
AGAGUUUGAUCCUGGCUCAGAACGAACGCUGGCGGCAUGGCUAAGACAUGCAAGUCGAACGAACUAUAUGAUUGAGUAAUCGAGACUAUAGUUAGUGGCGUAAGGGUGCGGAAUGAAUAGGUAACGUACCCCAAACUUCAGAAUAGCGUCUGGAUGCUUGCAUCCUUCCGAAAGGGGCGGUAAUACUGAAUAAUAUCACAUACUUGAUGUUUGUGAUCAAAGAUUUAUCGGUUUGGGAGCGGCCUAUUUCCUAUCAGCUUGUUGGUAAGGUAACGGCUUACCAAGGCUACGACGGGUAGCGGGACUGAGAGGUUGACCCGCCACAUUGGGACUGAGACACUGCCCAGACCCCCACGGGGGGCUGCAGUAACGAAUAUUGCACAAUGAACGAAAGUUUGAUGCAGCAAUGCCGCGUGUAGGAUGAAGCUCCUCGGAGUGUAAACUAUUGUCAGGGGCUAGAAAGUGCGUUUCGGCGUAUUGAUCAACCCCAAAGGAAGUCACGGCUAACUUCGUGCCAGCAGCCGCGGUAAUACGAAGGUGGCAAGCGUUGUUCGGAAUCAUUGGGCUUAAAGCGCGCGUAGGCGGACUGGAAAGUGUCCUGUGAAAACCCACGGCUUAACCGUGGAAUUGCUUGGCAAACUAUCAGUCUUGAGGCAAGUAGGGGUACAUGGAACUCUUAGUGGAGCGGUGGAAUGCGUAGAUAUUAAGAGGAACGCCAAUGGUGAAGACAGUGUACUGGGCUUGUACUGACGCUGAGGUGCGAAAGCGUGGGGAGCGAACGGGAUUAGAUACCCCGGUAGUCCACGCUGUAAACGAUGUCUACUAGAUCGUGGGAGUUCUGACACUUUCACGGUCGAAGCAAAAGUGAUAAGUAGACCGCCUGGGGAGUACGGUCGCAAGGCUAAAACUCAAAGGAAUUGACGGGGGCUCACACAAGCGGUGGAGCAUGUGGUUUAAUUCGAAGAUACGCGAAGAACCUUACCUAGCCUUGACAUAUUUUAGAACUCUUUAGAGAUAGAGAGGUGCCUUCGGGAGCUAAUUUACAGGUGCUGCACGGCUGUCGUCAGCUCGUGUCGUGAGAUGUUGGGUUAAGUCCCGCAACGAGCGCAACCCUCGUCACUAGUUACUAACGGUUCGGCCGAGGACUCUAGUGAGACUGCCUUCGUAAGGAGGAGGAAGGUGAGGACGACGUCAAGUCAUCAUGGCCCUUACGGCUAGGGCAACACACGUGCUACAAUGGCCAGGACAGUGAGACGCGAUACCGCGAGGUGGAGCAAAUCUAUAAACCUGGUCUCAGUUCGGAUUGUAGUCUGCAACUCGACUACAUGAAGCUGGAAUCACUAGUAAUCGUAGAUCAGCUAUGCUACGGUGAAUACGUUCCCGGGUCUUGUACUCACCGCCCGUCACACCAUGGGAGUUGAUUUCACCCGAAGCGGGGAAGCUAAACUGGCUACCCUCCACGGUGGAAUUAGCGACUGGGGUGAAGUCGUAACAAGGUAACC